CAGUCGCCACGGGAACACGUAGGGUGCAAGCGUUAAUCGGAAUUACUGGGCGUAAAGCGUGCGCAGGCGGUUAUAUAAGACAGAUGUGAAAUCCCCGGGCUCAACCUGGGAACUGCAUUUGUGACUGUAUAGCUAGAGUACGGCAGAGGGGGAUGGAAUUCCGCGUGUAGCAGUGAAAUGCGUAGAUAUGCGGAGGAACACCGAUGGCGAAGGCAAUCCCCUGGGCCUGUACUGACGCUCAUGCACGAAAGCGUGGGGAGCAAACAGGAUUAGAUACCCCCGUAGUCCCUGUCUCUUAUAC
rnacentral:rRNA from 1 species